rnacentral:rRNA from 1 species
UACAGAGGUCUCGAGCGUUAGGCGGAAUCACUGGGCUUAAAGCGUGUGUAGGCGGAUUGGUAAGUACCUUGUGAAAUCCCACGGCUUAACCGUGGAACUGCUUGGUAUACUGCCUGUCUUGAGCCAGCUAGGGGCGACCGGAACAAAUGGUGGAGCGGUGAAAUGCGUAGAUAUCAUUGGGAACACCGAAAGCGAAGGCAGAGCACUGGGUGCCACCUGACACUGCUAGGACGAAAGCGUGGGGAGCGAAUGGG